GUGCUUGCUUCAUCAACACAUAUACUAAAAUUGGAAGGAUAUAGAUAUUAGCAUGGCGCCAAUAUAAGAAUAACACACAAAUUCAUGAAGCAUUUCAUUUUAAA
rnacentral:snRNA from 1 species